rnacentral:tRNA from 1 species
GGAUGUAGCCAAGCGGUUAAGGCUCCGGUCUCUGAAGCCGACAUCGAUGGUUCGAGUCCAUCCAUC